rnacentral:rRNA from 1 species
AUUGAACGCUGGCGGCAUGCUUUACACAUGCAAGUCGAACGGCAGCGCGGGCUUCGGCCUGGCGGCGAGUGGCGAACGGGUGAGUAAUACAUCGGAACGUGCCCGGUAGGGGGGGAUAGCUCGGCGAAAGCCGGAUUAAUACCGCAUACGACCUGAGGGGGAAAGCGGGGGAUCUUCGGACCUCGCGCAAUUGGAGCGGCCGAUGGCGGAUUAGCUAGUUGGUGGGGUAAAGGCCUACCAAGGCGACGAUCGGUAGCUGGUCUGAGAGGACGACCAGCCACACUGGGACUGAGACACGGUCCAGACUCCUACGGGAGGCAGCAGUGGGGAAUUUUGGACAAUGGGCGAAAGCCUGAUCCAGCAAUGCCGCGUGUGUGAUGAAGGCCUUCGGGUUGUAAAGCACUUUUGGCGGGAACGAAAAGGACUGUGCCAAUACCACGGUUCGAUGACGUCACCCGCAGAAUAAGCACCGGCUAACUACGUG